rnacentral:rRNA from 1 species
AACUGUGGUUAAGGAACUCGGCAAAAUGCCCCCGUAACUUCGGGAGAAGGGGGACCAUGCCCGGUGAACAUCUUCACGGUGGGAGCUGGGUGUGGUCGCAGAGACCAGAGAGAAGCGACUGUUUACUAAAAACACAGGUCCGUGCGAAGACGUAAGUCGAUGUAUACGGACUGACGCCUGCCCGGUGCUGGAAGGUUAAGAGGACCGGUUAGCCGUAAGGCGAAGCUGAGAAUUUAAGCCCCAGUAAACGGCGGUGGUAACUAUAACCAUCCUAAGGUAGCGAAAUUCCUUGUCGGGUAAGUUCCGACCUGCACGAAUGGCGUAACGACUUCUCUGCUGUCUCGACCACAGACUCGGCGAAAUUGCACUACGAGUAAAGAUGCUCGUUACGCGCGGCAGGACGAAAAGACCCCGGGACCUUUACUAUAGCUUGGUAUUGGCGUUCGAUUCGGUUUGUGUAGGACAGGUGGGAGACUGUGAAGCAUGCACGCCAGUGUGUGUGGAGUCGUUGUUGAAAUACCACUCUGAUCGUAUUGGACGUCUAACCUCGGCCCAUGAUCUGGGUUAGGGACAGUGCCUGGUGGGUAGUUUAACUGGGGCGGUUGCCUCCUAAAGAGUAACGGAGGCGCCCAAAGGUUCCCUCAGCCUGGAUGGCAAUCAGGUGUUGAGUGCAAGUGCACAAGGGAGCUUGACUGUGAGACUGACACGUCGAGCAGGGACGAAAGUCGGGACUAGUGAUCCGGCACCGGCAAGUGGAAGCGGUGUCGCUCAACGGAUAAAAGGUACCCCGGGGAUAACAUGCUGAUCUUCCCCAAGAGUCCAUAUCGACGGGAUGGUUUGGCACCUCGAUGUCGGCUCGUCGCAUCCUGGGGCUGGAGUAGGUCCCAAGGGUUGGGCUGUUCGCCCAUUAAAGCGGCACGCGAGCUGGGUCUAGAACGUCGUGAGACAGUUCGGUCUCUAUCCGCCGCGCGCGUAAGAAACUUGAGGAAGGCUGUCCCUAGUACGAGAGGACCGGGACGGACGAACCUCUGGUGUGCCAGUUGUUCCACCAGGAGCAUGGCUGGUUAGCUACGUUCGGAAGGGAUAACCGCUGAAAGCAUCUAAGCGGGAAGCCUGUUCCAAGAUGAGGUUUCUCACCACCUUGCGUGGUUAAGGCCCCCUACAGACCAUGGGGUUGAUAGGCCGGAACUGGAAGCGCAGCAAUGUGUGGAGGUGACCGGUACUAAUAGGCCGAGGGCU